UAUCGCGGUUGACAAGUAUACAUUGAAGAACGUGAGCUGAUAAUUUCCAGUUUGCCAUUAAAUGAAAUGAGUUUUUAAGUCGGCUGUCAGCUGUUACGAUAAAAAAGCACGGAGACUUGGAACAGGUGCCUGCCAUCAGUGAGCCAACUCAAUAAGGUUAUUCCAUGUCAGAUGACAACACCGUUGACCUUGGGUCUUCAGAUUUUAAUACAAAAAUGCUGUGCUUGAAGACAUUAAUAAAUAAUGUACAUGCCAACACAAACCAGCCAGUCAUCUCGUGAGCCAAUCAGCCUACCAACCAGCCAGUCAUCUUGUCAACCAAUUUGCCUACCAAUCAGCCAGUCAUCUUUUGCACCAAUCAGCCUACCAACCAGCAAGUCAUCCUGUCAACCAAUCAGCCUACCAACCAGCCAGUCAUCUUAUCAACCUACCAACCAGCCAUUUUAUCUCAUGGACCAAUCAGCCUACCUACCAGCCAGUCAUCUUUCAAGCCAGUCAUGCUAGAUAACUAGCAAGUAGUCAGGCAUCAGUGUUACUUAUCUAUACCAAUCAUGCAGUGGAUUAGCACAGGUGAAUCCCCACAAAACGACAUAUGUUUUGUGGUACCUUUGACCCUUGGCCAUUGUGAGGCUAUCAUCCUGACCUGUCCAAGAAAACCCCUUGAAGACAAAUACAACCAGCCAUUUCCUGCAAGGUAAACAACUUGAUAAACAGCAACAUCCUUCAUUACCAUGACAACAGCUCUGCAUCCAGAGAUUUCAAGUCCAGCCGUCCGUUUUCAUCAGAAAUGAAUAACGGAGCCAGUCGCUGCACAAUAACGUAGACGCAAGCUUCAUUGGCCAAAGGUCACUUGAUAAGGUAAGAAGCAAUACCU